AUUGAACGCUGGCGGCAUGCUUUACACAUGCAAGUCGAACGGCAGCGCGGGCUUCGGCCUGGCGGCGAGUGGCGAACGGGUGAGUAAUACAUCGGAACGUGCCCAGUCGUGGGGGAUAGCUCGGCGAAAGCCGGAUUAAUACCGCAUCCGACCUGAGGGUGAAAGCGGGGGAUCUUCGGACCUCGCGCUAUUGGAGCGGCCGAUGGCAGAUUAGCUAGUUGGUGGGGUAAAGGCCUACCAAGGCGACGAUCUGUAGCUGGUCUGAGAGGACGACCGGCCACACUGGGACUGAGACACGGCCCAGACUCCUACGGGAGGCAGCAGUGGGGAAUUUUGGACAAUGGGCGAAAGCCUGAUCCAGCAAUGCCGCGUGUGUGAUGAAGGCCUUCGGGUUGUAAAGCACUUUUGGCGGGAACGAAAAGGACUGUGCCAAUACCACGGUUCGAUGACGGUACCCGCAGAAUAAGCACCGGCUAACUACGUG
rnacentral:rRNA from 1 species